AUUGAACGCUGGCGGCAUGCCUUACACAUGCAAGUCGAACGGUAGGGGGAGCAAUCCCCUGAGAGUGGCGAACGGGUGAGUAAAGCAUCGGAACGUGCCCAGCUGUGGGGGAUAACUACUCGAAAGAGUGGCUAAUACCGCAUACGACCUGAGGGUGAAAGCGGGGGACCGAAAGGCCUCGCGCAGUUGGAGCAGCCGAUGUCAGAUUAGCUAGUUGGCGGGGUAAAGGCCCACCAAGGCGACGAUCUGUAGCUGGUCUGAGAGGACGACCAGCCACACUGGGACUGAGACACGGCCCAGACUCCUACGGGAGGCAGCAGUGGGGAAUUUUGGACAAUGGGCGCAAGCCUGAUCCAGCCAUGCCGCGUGCAGGAAGAAGGCCUUCGGGUUGUAAACUGCUUUUGUCAGGGAAGAAAUCUUCUGGGUUAAUACCUCGGGAGGAUGACGGUACCUGAAGAAUAAGCACCGGCUAACUACGUGCCAGCCGCCGCCGUAAGAC
rnacentral:rRNA from 1 species